GACGAACGCUGGCGGCGUGCCUAAUACAUGCAAGUCGAACGAGAGCGACCGGUGCUUGCACUGGUCAAUCUAGUGGCGAACGGGUGAGUAACACGUGGGUAACCUGCCCAUCAGAGGGGGAUAACAUCCGGAAACGGAUGCUAACACCGCAUAGGUCUUCGAGCCGCAUGGCUUGAAGAGGAAAAGAGGAGCAAGCUUCUGCUGGUGGAUGGACCCGCGGUGCAUUAGCUAGUUGGUGAGGUAACGGCGCACCAAGGCCGUGAUGCAUAGCCGACCUGCGCGGGUGAUCGGCCACAUUGGGACUGAGACACGGCCCAAACUCCUACGGGAGGCAGCAGUAGGGAAUCUUCCGAAAUGGACGCAAGUCUGACGGAGCAACGCCGCGUGAGUGAAGAAGGUUUUCGGAUCGUAAAACUCUGUUGUUAGAGAAGAACAAGUGCUAGAGUAACUGUUAGCGCCUUGACGGUACCUAACCAGAAAGCCACGGCUAACUACGUG
rnacentral:rRNA from 1 species